UGAAGCACCUGGCAGGGGAGAUACCAUGAUCAAGGUGGUUUCCCAGGGUGAGGCCUGUCCCUUGCACUCCCAAACAGGCUGACCCUUCAAGUUUCUCUGAUGGUGGGAAACUCAGCUGCACAAUUCUGUGGCAAUAGGGAACUGCAUUCAUGCUUCCCUCUG
rnacentral:snRNA from 1 species